rnacentral:rRNA from 1 species
CUACGUGCCAGCAGCCGCGGUAAUACGUAGGGCGCGAGCGUUGUCCGGAAUUAUUGGGCGUAAAGAGCUUGUAGGCGGUUUGUCGCGUCUGCUGUGAAAGGCCGGGGCUUAACCCCGUGUAUUGCAGUGGGUACGGGCAGACUAGAGUGCAGUAGGGGAGACUGGAAUUCCUGGUGUAGCGGUGGAAUGCGCAGAUAUCAGGAGGAACACCGAUGGCGAAGGCAGGUCUCUGGGCUGUAACUGACGCUGAGAAGCGAAAGCAUGGGGAGCGAACAGGAUUAGAUACCCUGGUAGUCCAUGCCGUAAACGUUGGGCACUAGGUGUGGGGGACAUUCCACGUUUUCCGCGCCGUAGCUAACGCAUUAAGUGCCCCGCCUGGGGAGUACGGCCGCAAGGUUAAAACUCAAAUGAAUUGACGGGGGCCCGCACAAGCGGUGGAGCAUGUGGUUUAAUUCGAUGCAACGCGAAGAACCUUACCUACUCUUGACAUCCAGAGAACAUUC